AUUGAACGCUGGGGCAUGCUUUACACAUGCAAGUCGGACGGCAGCACAGAGAAGCUUGCUUCUUGGGUGGCGAGUGGCGAACGGGUGAGUAACAUAUCGGAACGUACCGAGCAGUGGGGGAUAACUAAUCGAAAGAUUAGCUAAUACCGCAUAUAUUCUGAGGAAGAAAGCAGGGGACCAUUUGGCCUUGCGCUGUUUGAGCGGCCGAUAUCUGAUUAGCUAGUUGGUGGGGUAAAGGCCUACCAAGGCGACGAUCAGUAGCGGGUCUGAGAGGAUGAUCCGCCACACUGGGACUGAGACACGGCCCAGACUCCUACGGGAGGCAGCAGUGGGGAGUUUUGGACAAUGGGCGCAAGCCUGAUCCAGCCAUGCCGCGUGUCUGAAGAAGGCCUUCGGGUUGUAAAGGACUUUUGUCAGGGAAGAAAAGGGCGGGGUUAAUACCCC
rnacentral:rRNA from 1 species